rnacentral:lncRNA from 10 species
GUCUUCUGACACAGGCAUCUCACAACACCAGUGCAGCCGGACCGUUGUCUGGUAGGUCUCUGUGCACCCAGGAGGACCUGGGCCUGCGAGAAGUCUGGGGCCCACUGCUGGGUAUGCUCGUUUCUUGAGCAUCCGAGUCACCUUUACAGUCUGCGAUGAUUGACGAGGUCAAACAGGACUCACUUGCAUUGCCGGGUCUCUGUGGCGACAGGGAGGACUUGGAGACCAGCCCUGUCAACACCUUCAUCUUGUUUCACAUUUGUGAAGGUCGGGGAGGCAUCUGGAGCUUCUUGAUGUGUCAGCUCGGAAUGCUGCCUGUGGGCUGGGUCGGCUUCAGGCCUGCAGGUCAAGAUUAACUGAGCAGUGAUCAAACAGCUCCAUGGGACAAGGAGAAGCUGGGCUCACCUCAUGGAAUAUGGCCAAGACCUCAAUGGGCCUGGAGGUGAUGUGGUGGCAGCUGGGGCAGAAGCAGCUGGGGACCUCUGCAAACAAGGGGUGCGGGUCCCUGGAG